rfam:Ornithorhynchus anatinus chromosome X1, whole genome shotgun sequence.
AGCAGCGUGGCUCAGUGGAAAGAGCACGGGCUUGGGAGUCAGAGGUCAUGGGUUUGAAUCCCUACUCUGCCA